rnacentral:rRNA from 1 species
GACGAACGCUGGCGGCGUGCUUAACACAUGCAAGUCGAGCGGUAAGGCCCUUUCGGGGGUACACGAGCGGCGAACGGGUGAGUAACACGUGGGUGACCUGCCCUUAGCUCUGGGAUAAGCCUGGGAAACUGGGUCUAAUACCGGAUAUGACUCCGUAACGCAUGUUGUGGGGUGGAAAGCCUUGUGCGGCUAGGGAUGGGCCCGCGGCCUAUCAGCUUGUUGGUGGGGUGAUGGCCACCAAGGCGACGACGGGUAGCCGGCCUGAGAGGGCGACCGGCCACACUGGGACUGAGACACGGCCCAGACUCCUACGGGAGGCAGCAGUGGGGAAUCUUGCGCAAUGGGCGAAAGCCUGACGCAGCGACGCCGCGUGGGGAUGAC